GGCUCAGUAACACGUGGACAACCUGCCCUGCGGUGAGGGAUAACUCCGGGAAACUGGAGAUAAUACCUCAUAGUUUACCAUCGCUGGAAUGCCUGGUAAGCGAAAGGUCCGCCGCCACAGGAUGGGUCUGCGGCCGAUUAGGUUGUUGUUGGGGCAACGGCCCAACAAGCCUGUGAUCGGUACGGGUUGUGGGAGCUAGAGCCCGGAGAUGGAUUCUGAGACACGAAUCCAGGCCCUACGGGGCGCAGCAGGCGCGAAAACUUUACAAUGCAGGCAACUGUGAUAAGGGAACCCCGAGUGCCCGUAUGGACGGGCUGUUCAGGUGCUUAAAAACCACCUGGAGAAAGGGCCGGGCAAGACCGGUGCCAGCCGCCGCGGUAAUACCGGCGGCUCGAGUGGUGGCCACUAUUACUGGGCUUAAAGCGUCCGUAGCUUGGUCGUUAAGCCUCUGGGGAAAUCUUCCGGCUCAACCGGAAGGCGUCUCAGGGGAACUGGCGGCCUAGGGAUCGGGAGAGGUGAGAGGUACUCUGGGGGUAGGAGUGAAAUCCUGUAAUCCUCAGGGGACCACCUGUGGCGAAGGCGUCUCACCAGAACGACUCCGACAGUGAGGGACGAAAGCUGGGGGAGCAAACCGGAUUAGAUACCCGGGUAGUCCCAGCCGUAAACGAUGCGCGUUAGGUGUAUCGGUGACCACGAGUUACCGAGGUGCCGAAGGGAAACCGUGAAACGCGCCGCCUGGGAAGUACGGUCGCAAGGCUGAAACUUAAAGGAAUUGGCGGGGGAG
rnacentral:rRNA from 1 species